rnacentral:rRNA from 1 species
GACGAACGCUGGCGGCGUGCUUAACACAUGCAAGUCGAACGGUGAAGCGCCUUCCUUUUUGGUGGGUGUGGAUGAGUGGCGAACGGGUGAGUAACAAGUGAGUAACCUGCCCCCUUCUUCUGGAUAACCGCAUGAAAUUGUGACUAAUACGGGAUAUUCUGGGUCUGUCGCCUGAUGGGUCUGGGAAAGAUAUGGUUUAGGACGGGGAUGGGCUCGGGGCUUAUCAGCUUGUGGGGGGGGGGAUGGCCUACCAAGGCGGGGACGGGUAGCCGGCCUGAGAGGGUGGACGGUCACACUGUGACUGAGACACCGGCCAGACUCGUACGGGAGGCAGCAGUGGGGAAUAGUGCACAAUGGGAGCAAGACUGAUGCAGCGACGCCGCGUGAGGGAUGGAGGCCGUCGGGUUGUGAACCUCCUUCGCCAGUGAAGCGGGCCUGCCUCGUAUGUGGGUGGGUUGACGGUAGCUGGAGAAGAAGCGCCGGCUAACUACGUG